rnacentral:rRNA from 1 species
CCUUAGAGUUUGAUCCUGGCUCAGGACCAUUGCUGGCGGCGUGCUUAACACAUGCAAGUCGAACGGAGUGCCUAUGAAACACAUUUCGGUCAAUGGAUUAUGUUACUUAGGGGCCGACGGGUGACUAACGCGUGAGGAACCUGCCUUUCAAAGGGGGACCACAGUUGGACACAACUGCUAUCACCUCAUAACAUAUAGCCCUCACAUGGUGGUUAUAUCAAAGAUUUCUCGCUGAAUUAUGGCCUCGCGGCUGAUUCGCUCCUUGGUGAGGAAACGGCUCACCCAGGCUACGAUGAGUAACCGGACUGAUAGGAUGGCCAGCCACAUUGGAACUGAGAUACAGGCCACACUCCUACAGUAGGCACCAUGGGGGAAUAUUGGACAAUGGGCUGCAGCCUGACCCAGCAACGCCUUCGUGAAGGAAGAAUGCUUUCGGGUUGUAAACUUACUUUUAGACAGGGAAGAGUACAACGACUGACCUGUCCAAUAAGCCACGGCUAACUACCUGCCAGCCGCCGCCGCAAUACAAUACGUGGCAGGCGUAGUCCGAGAUUUACUGAGUGUAAAGGGCGUGUAGCCAGGCUGACUAGCCAGAUGUGGAAUCCUGCGUGCUUGACCGCACAACUGCAUUUUAAACAUGCUGAUCUUGAGUAAGAGGAGAGGAGGACGGAAUUCCUUCUGUGAGUGUGAAAUGCUGCAUAUUAUAAGGAACAACACUGGUGAAGGAGGCCUGCUGGAUCGCAAUUACUGACGAUGGGGCAAAGAAUGGGGAGCAAACAAGAUUAUAUACCCCUCGUAAUCCCCCCCGUCAACGAUGGAUAACACGGGGUGGGGGGAGUGACCCCCUCCGUGCUGCAGUUAACGCAAUAAGUAUUCCACCUGGGGAGUACGAUCGCAAGGUUGAGACUCAAAGGAAUUGACGGGGGCCCGCACAAGCGGUGGAGUAUGUGGUUUAAUUCGAAGCAACGCGAAGAACCUUACCAGGCCUUGACAUGGGAUGCGAAGAUGCAGAGAUGCAUCGGAGGUCAACAUCCACACAGGUGGUGCAUGGUUGUCGUCAGCUCGUGUCGUGAGAUGUUGGGUCAAGUCCCGCAACGAGCGCAACCCUUGUGGCAUGUUGCUAACAGGAAAAGCUGAGGACUCAUGCCAGACUGCCGGUGACAAACCGGAGGAAGGCGGGGAUGACGUCAAAUCAUCAUGCCCCUUAUGGCCUGGGCUACACACGUACUACAAUGGCGGCUACAAAGAGCAGCGAGACAGGGAUGUCGAGCGAAUCUCAUAAAAGCCGUCCCAGUUCGGAUUGGAGGCUGCAACCCGCCUCCAUGAAGUUGGAAUCGCUAGUAAUCGCGGAUCAGCAUGCCGCGGUGAAUACGUUCCCGGGCCUUGCACUCACCGCCCGUCA